AUUGAACGCUGGCGGCAGGCCUAACACAUGCAAGUCGAACGAGUGGCGGACGGGAGAGUAAUGUAUGGGAAACUGCCCGAUGGAGGGGGAUAACUACUGGAAACGGUAGCUAAUACCGCCUACCAUCGGAUGUGCCCAGAUGGGAUUCGCUAGUGGGUGGGGUAAAGGCUCACCUAGGCGACGAUCCCUAGCUGGUCUGAGAGGAUGACCAGCCACACUGGAACUGAGACACGGUCCAGACUCCUACGGGAGGCAGCAGUGGGGAAUAUUGCACAAUGGGCGAAAGCCUGAUCCAGCCAUGCCGCGUGUGUGAAGAAGGCCUUCGGGUUGUAAAGUACUUUCAGCGAGGAGGCGUUACCCACAGAAGAAGCAACGGCUAACUCCGUGCCAGCAGCCGCGGUAAUUC
rnacentral:rRNA from 1 species